UUCACCCCACCCCAGGGUCUCCCUGCACCCUGAGAACCCUGAGUUUUCUCUGCUGUGUCUCCCUUGAGCCUUCAGCAAGACUGGCUCCUCCUUUUUCGGAGCACCUACUGUGUGCCAGGCAACGUAAGUGAGGACCUGUCAAGACUGACUGUGUGUUCCAGGAUGUCUGAUGUGUGACCCUCGUGAAAGGAAUAUUUGAACCCCCAAAGGGGUCGUGGCCCACACAGAUUGAGAACCUAGCCAGUCAGCCAGUCCAGCAGUAGCCAGGCGGAGGAUGGAUGCUCUUCUGUGCAGAGGGACCACGGAAGGUUCCCAGACGCAUCCUCGUCUGAAGGAAAAGGACCUGAAAAAGCAGAGGCAGCGGAGUUCAGUCUUCAUGGAGACAGCUUCCUGGAGCUGUAAAAAGCCUAUGAGCUGGUUGGGGUUGCCACCCCCCCUCUACUGUUUUAUCAAUAUUGCCAUAAUUUGACACUUGUGAAUAGGGGAAGAUUGUAAAGUGUCCGUAGAUCCUGUAAACUGUUCUAAAUACAGAUUAGUAUUACAACUAAGUUUAAACCCUAGUAAAAGAUAAUUAAGUUGAUGGAUGUGGCUGUAAAUCUCCCUUUUAUCAAGGGCUCGCUCGUGCGGGAGCAGCCUCUAGCUUAUUAUUUUACAGCAUCAUUAAUGUCUUGGCAGUACCAGCAUCUUCCAUGGAUGCUGCUGCCGGCUGAGCGAGAAGCCGGUGGGAUGUGGCGCGUGGAUACGCAAGGCCCCGUGAGCUCCUGACUUCUUUUGACUUUAUAGCGACGAUGUAUGACCACAGGGUGAAUGCACACACCGGGUGGGGGUCGGGGGUUGCCUGGUGAUCCCUGCUAGGCCUGCGACCCAAUUGCAGCUCCCCACCAUAACUCAUUUGGAUCUCUAGUUUUCCGGGGUACAUAAAGACUACUGUAUCUAAGGCCCAUUUUCCUGACCCUCAUCUGGGACCGCUGCUUGCUACAGAGAUGCUUUCGUCUUUAGCCCAAUAAUGCUGGGCUGCUGAAAAGAAAAAGACCAAACUGUGAUUAAGGAGGGUCCCGAAACACAGAUGUCCUUAAGAGUUGGGUGUAGAUGGUGCCACUGAGAUGGGGAGAUCCCAAGAUGGUGCUGUCUCUGUCUGACCAGUCCUGACAGGUUCCUCUCACAACCGGCGCCAUGGGAGCUUUUGACAAGGUUCACCGGUGACUUGAGAUCUGAGCGGUUUAGCUGGCCUACUGAAGCCCUGGGGAUGCCCUCUUUGAGGAUACAUCUCUGCAGCUGCUUACUCAGGCAUUACUAGUGGAGGACCCCCAACCCUAUGCCAUCAGGCAUUACUAGUGGAGGACCCCCCAACCCUAUGCCAUCUUGCCCAUGUCCACAGAAUGGCUUGAUAAAGACUCCUUCAAGGGCAGAAUCACUGAGAGCCAAGGAUUGCUACAUGGGGCUGACUUUUGGUCCUUGGUCAGCACUUGCCAACAAGGCAUCCAUCCGUAUAUCAACCCCAAGGUGGCUCACCCUCUGUCUGGUUCCUUCUCUCCAGGGUGGUACCUAAUACUUAACGACCAACUUCAUUUCUUGUGCAAGAGUGCAGAAACCAAAUGCAGAGCCCCAGGGCAGGCAGAAGGCAGGUGAAGCAGGAGACCAGGGGGGUCAUCGUGUCUCUGACCUUGCACUGGGCCUAGUGCAGCUCUUACCUGGUUCUAUUGGAUGUCCAGAUACCAUCUUUUGUAAGUAUUAGCUCUCCUUGGCUUUCCCAGAGUUCUGAUGACUUCAAGAAGGGAUUUAUUUAUUCAGAUACCUUAAAGUCUGGUUGACUAACAUGACCCCAUUAUUUAUAGAACAGAACACCUGAGGGUCAGGGCUCUUGCUCCUAACAACUCCCUACCUUGGCUGUGACCUUGAACUGGGCCUCAGGGAACCCAGUUGGCCCUGCUGCCUCCACUGAGAGGCCAGGUUCUCAGACUUGCUGGAAGAGCUAAGCUGACUGGCCUUGACUAGGAAUUAGGACACCGAGAACAAGGAAAUAGACCAGUGGAAGAGUUAUCUGGGAGAGACAGUAUUUGACUCCAAAAGAUAAACAUACUCUUUUUUUUUUUUCUUUUUAUUGCCUGAAGCUGAGCGAUAUGGACCUUGGUUGGAAUUAGCAGGCUGAAAGUUCAAGCCAUAAAUGAUUCUCAGGGGCAAGAGGAUCAGCGGGGCCAACUUGAGGCUUGUCAGGAGGCCCGGGCUGGGGCUGCUCACCUUUUGAACUGGGUGUGGGUGGGUAAGGAGCUGGCUCCCAUGAUCGUGAGCAGAGGGGAUGUCUGGCCAGCCCCCCUUCCCCCCACCCCCAGCCUCACCUCCGUGUACCAGGGUGGAGUCAAGUUCCUAGAGGAGAGAGUAGCAGGUAUACUUUAGGUAUUCCAAGCCUAAAAUGGCACUCCAGGCUUCGAAGGCCUCAUCUCCGAGAAGCCAAAACAGGCUGACUGGCAGACUUGUGAUAAACCGAACUUUUCUCUUUGUGGGGUCUCAGAAGGAAAACAGCCUAUCCCUUGGGAGCAACUGCUACUUCAAAAGUGUGUGUUCUGGACAUCUUUCGGGGCCACUGGUAGGCCCUAAGAUCUCACCCGAUGAGCAGAAACUGAAGGUCCCUGUCUCAAUAAGGCAAUGUUUGGAGACUUGCGGUCUUCUUCACAGAGUCAAGAGCUUUUCCGGCUCUCAGGGUUAAUUACGUCCCGGGUCUGGUCCUCCUUGUCUGGACCAUGGCCUGGUGUGCAGAACAUAGUGACAGACAACCCACUGUCCCCUGGUUUAGGGUGUGACAUCACGUAAAUAUGUGGACACGUGUGGGGUGGGCUCUGGGUGGCAUGUCUGGGGAUAAUGUGCCCAGGGACUAGACCGACUUCUCUCCAGAACUCACUGCGCUCUGGCAACUCUAUGUAAAACCUUACGGGGCUGAGGCUGAGGCUGACUGUAACAAGCCGUAAGUGGCUGAAGCUAAUAAAUCCAACUAUCUUGAAGAGCAAA